AGAGAAAGGAUCCAAAGGGAUCGCAUUGAUCCUAAUCAAGCUGAGUUAUUCCCGAAUAAUUAUUUUAAACUUUUCUCAAUGGAAAGAUAGAAAAAAAAAAAAGAUUUGCUUCGUUUUCCGGAUCAUGCGAUCUCUUCGGAUUCAUCCUU
rfam:Brassica napus, WGS project CCCW01000000 data, contig: 37